rnacentral:rRNA from 1 species
GAUGAACGCUGGCGGCGUGCCUAAUACAUGCAAGUCGAGCGAACAGAUAAGGAGCUUGCUCCUUUGACGUUAGCGGCGGACGGGUGAGUAACACGUGGGUAACCUACCUAUAAGACUGGGAUAACUUCGGGAAACCGGAGCUAAUACCGGAUAAUAUUUCGAACCGCAUGGUUCGAUAGUGAAAGAUGGUUUUGCUAUCACCUAUAGAUGGACCCGCGCCGUAUUAGCUAGUUGGUAAUGUAACGGCUUACCAAGGCGACGAUACGUAGCCGACCUGAGAGGGUGAUCGGCCACACUGGAACUGAGACACGGUCCAGACUCCUACGGGAGGCAGCAGUAGGGAAUCUUCCGCAAUGGGCGAAAGCCUGACGGAGCAACGCCGCGUGAGUGAUGAAGGUCUUCGGAUCGUAAAACUCUGUUAUUAGGGAAGAACAUACGUGUAAGUAACUGUGCACGUCUUGACGGUACCUAAUCAGAAAGCCACGGCUAACUACGUG